rnacentral:lncRNA from 1 species
UCCUGCUGGCCCUCGCGGCCUGGCUGCGGCACGAGUGGGCCCGCUUCAUCUGGCUGUCAGCCUUCGCCAUCAUCGUGUUCAGGGUGGAGCUGUGCCUGUUCCUGGGCCUCCUGCUGCUGCUGGCCUUGGGCAACCGAAAGGUUUCUGUAGUCAGAGCCCUUCGCCACGCCGUCCCGGCAGGGAUCCUCUGUUUAGGACUGACGGUUGCUGUGGACUCUUAUUUUUGGCGGCAGCUCACUUGGCCGGAAGGAAAGGAGGGGCCUGAGGCCUGAGUGGUGUCUGUGCACACGAGCCGUGGUCCAGGCUGCAUCUCUCAGCACAACUGUCUUCAAG